rnacentral:rRNA from 1 species
CCUAGUAGCGGCGAGCGAAGCGGGAAAAGCUCAAAUUUGUAAUCUGGCGCUUUCGGCGUCCGAGUUGUAAUCUCGAGAAGUGUUUUCCGCGUCAGACCGCACACAAGUCUCCUGGAACGGAGCGUCACAGUGGUGAGAACCCAGUACACGGUGCGGAUGCCUGAUGCUUUGUGAUACACUUUCGAAGAGUCGAGUUGUUUGGGAAUGCAGCUCAAAUUGGGUGGUAAAUUCCAUCUAAAGCUAAAUAUUGGCGAGAGACCGAUAGCGAACAAGUACCGUGAGGGAAAGAUGAAAAGCACUUUGGAAAGAGAGUUAACAGUACGUGAAAUUGUUGGAAGGGAAACGCUUGAAGUCAGACUUGCUAUUCGGAGCUUGCUUCGAUUCGCAGGCCCGCAUCAGUUUUCCGGGGCGGAAAAUCGUAAGGAGAAGGUAGCAGUUUCGGCUGUGUUAUAGCUCUUUACUGGAUUCGUCCUGGGGGACUGAGGAACGCAGCGUGCUUUUUGCAUGGGCUUCGGCCCAUCCACGCUUAGGAUGCGG